rnacentral:rRNA from 1 species
CUAAGGCCGAUGGCGACCGGCGCACGGGUGAGUAACACGUAUCCAACCUGCCUCACACAGGGGGAUAACAUUUGGAAACAGAUGCUAAUACCGCAUAAGAUUACAGUACCGCAUGAUACAGUGAUCAAAGGAGCAAUCCGCUGAAAGAUGGGCUCGCGUCCGAUUAGAUAGUUGGUGAGGUAACGGCUCACCAAGUCGACGAUCGGUAGCCGGACUGAGAGGUUGAACGGCCACAUUGGGACUGAGACACGGCCCAGACUCC